UUAAAAUAUUUGUGAUCGAUUUUUAUUAUGAUGUUAAUGUUUUAUUUGCAGAAAACUGGAUGUGGUUAUUGGGAAUGGAAAGACAAUGAAUUUUCACCAAGAGCUAUUAUAGUCAUCGGCAAAUUGAAAAGAAAAAAGGAUGUUCUUCUUAAAGAAAGACUGGGAAAUAGGUGGGGGUGGGGGAAUUAUUUCUUAUGUUUUGGGUUUUCAUUAUUGGAUUUGUGGUUAGUUUCAUGUUUUGAGGGAAGACUUGAAAAUAUGGUUGUAAUUGUUUAUGGUAGUAAUUGCUUAUGGUUGUUUUAGUUGUAUAAUUUAUAUGCAUUGUAUUGUAAUGGUUGG
rnacentral:lncRNA from 1 species